CCUUCGGGAGGCAGCAGUGGGGAAUAUUGGGCAAUGGGCGCAAGCCUGACCCAGCAACGCCGCGUGAAGGAAGACGGCUUUCGGGUUGUAAACUUCUUUUGACAGGGAAGAGUAGAAGACGGUACCUGAUGAGUAAGCCACGGCUAACUACGUGCCAGCAGCCGCAGUAAUACGUAGGUGGCAAGCGGUAUCCGGAUUUACUGGGUGUAAAGGGCGUGUAGGCGGGAGUGCAAGUCAGAUGUGAAAACUAUGGGCUCAACCCAUAGCCUGCAUUUGAAACUGUACUUCUUGAGUGCUGGAGAGGCAAUCGGAAUGCGUGGUGUAGCGGUGAAAUGCGUAGAUAUACGGAGGAACACCAGUGGCGAAGGCAGAUUGCUGGACAGUAACUGACGCUGAGGCGCGAAAGCGUGGGGAGCAAACAGGAUUAGAUACCCGUGUAGUC
rnacentral:rRNA from 1 species